AACGAACGCUGGCGGCGCGCCUAAUACAUGCAAGUCGAGCGAGAAGGUGUAGCAAUACACUUGUAAAGCGGCGAACGGGUGAGGAAUACAUGGGUAAUCUACCAUCGAGUGGGGAAUAACCAACCGAAAGGUUGGCUAAUACCGCGUACGCCUCCGGGUCUUCGGGUUCGGAGGGAAAGCUGCACUGUGAGUGUAGCGCUCUUUGAUGAGCUCAUGUCCUAUCAGCUUGUUGGUAGGGUAACGGCCUACCAAGGCUUUGACGGGUAGCUGGUCUGAGAGGACGAUCAGCCACACUGGCACUGCGACACGGGCCAGACUCCUACGGGAGGCAGCAGUAAGGAAUAUUGCGCAAUGGGCGAAAGCCUGACGCAGCGACGCCGCGUGGGGGAUGAAGGUCUUCGGAUUGUAAACCCCUUUCGGGAGGGAAGAUGGAGCGAGCAAUCGUUCGGACGGUACCUCCAGAAGCAGCCACGGCCAACUUCGUGCCAACAGCCGCGGU
rnacentral:rRNA from 1 species